rnacentral:rRNA from 1 species
GGCCAGCAGCCGCGGUAAUACGAGGGGGGCAAAUGUUGUUCGGAAUCACUGGGCGUAAAGGGAGCGUAGGCGGGUUUCUAAGUCAGGUGUUUAAUCCCGGGGCCCAACCCCGGACAGGCACUUGAAACUGGGAAUCUUGAAUAGUGGAGAGGUCAGUGGAAUUGGGGGUGUAGCGGUGGAAUGCGUAGAGAUCCCCAAGAACACCAGUUGCGAAGGCGGCUGACUGGACACAUAUUGACGCUGAGGCUCGAAAGCAUGGGGAGCAAACAGGAUUAGAUACCCUGGUAGUCCAUGCCAUAAACGAUGAAUACUAGGUUUUGGGCCCGUCAACGGUCCAGAGCCGCAGCUAACGCGUUAAGUAUUCCGCCUGGGGAGUACGGUCGCAAGACUGAAACUCAAAGGAAUUGACGGGGGCCCGCACAAGG